ensembl:lncRNA uncharacterized LOC103106006
UUCUCUGUGUGUACUUGUGGGAAUGUUAUUUGUGUCCAAAGAUAGAGAACUAGGUGUUCUGCUUACUAUAGCUCCUCUGAUCUGAUUGACCGAAUUUUCUGGAUUUCUGGUUCUAGGUUGUCACUGACCAUGAGGACUCUCUACCUGAUGUACAUGGUGCUUUUUUUGGUAUUUCCCUAUACUGCCAAAGGGAAGUUGGAACCUGACAAUAUUAAUCAAUGUGACUCAGAUGAUGGCCGUUGUUACUAUCUUUGUCCAAGACCAUUUGAACAAUCUGGCUACUGUGAAUAUCCACGUCUUAAAUGCUGCAAACUUUAGCAAACAGAGAAAGAAAAGAAGAGUGCAUUCAGACUCUGUGGUAUAGACGAGUGAGUGUAUUAAAUAGGGGAGAAGUUUAAAUGCCUGGAAUAUGUUAUGCUUGUAUUAAUAAAGUAAUUCCACAUGGAAAGUUAGUUUUCUAA